GGGCCCGCACAAGCGGUGGAGCAUGUGGUUUAAUUCGAUGAUAAGCGAGGAACCUUACCUGGAUUCAAUUCAAUCUGACAGACUUAGAGAUAGGUUUUUCUUCGGGACAGAUUGGAAGGUGCUGCAUGGUUGUCGUCAGCUCGUGCCGUGAGGUGUUGGGUUAAGUCCCGCAACGAGCGCAACCCUUACCUUUAGUUGCCAGCACAUUAUGGUGGGAACUCUAGAGGAACUGCCUUCGUAAGGAGGAGGAAGGUGGGGAUGACGUCAAAUCAUCAUGGCCCUUACGUCCAGGGCCUACACACGUACUACAAUGGUCGGUACAAAGGGUUGCAACAUAGCGAUAUGGAAGCCCAAAUCCCCUAAAAAGCCGAUCUCAGUUCGGAUCGGAGUCUGCAACUCGACUCCGUGAAGCUGGAAUCGCUAGUAA
rnacentral:rRNA from 1 species